rnacentral:rRNA from 1 species
AUGAAGAGGAUUUGGACAAUUGAAUCGUUUUUUCAGUCAACAUCUGGGCAGCCUGCAACCAACAAUACCAACACCAAUGAUUCGCCUACCGAAUCAGUAGGAGCCGGAGCUAGUAAUGCACGUGUGGAGCUUAAUCCAGAUGACAUUAAUCCCGACCCCGGCCUCCGAAAACGAAUUGAGGAGUUGCAUGUGAAUGUGAGAGAUGCUGCUAGAAGGGAGUAUUUGGCCAUGGGACCGUGCCGACCAACAGGACAUGUCUAUGAACAAGAAAGAAAAGGGAAACAAAUGAGAGGCUUUCAUGAAGAGUGGUACAAGUCACAUGAUUGGUUGGAAUAUAGUGUUGCUAAAAAAGCCGCCUUUUGUUUUCAUUGUUUUCUCUUUAAGCAACCAAGAGCUGAAAACUGUGGAAUAGAAGCAUAUACAAAGAAAGGUUUUAGUAUUUGGAAAAAUGCUACUGCAUCUUUUGAGACUCGUGUUGGCAAUGUUAAUAGUGCUCAUAAUAGAGCUAGAAGACAUUGUAAAGCUUUUCAAAACCCAAGGCAAAAUGUUGAACAAGUAUGGGCUGGUUCAGAUACUCGAUUUUAUAUUUGCAGCUCCAGGUCCUUCUACUAUUGCUGGUGA